rnacentral:rRNA from 1 species
CACGUAGUUAGCCGGGGCUUCUUCUGAAGGUACCGUCACCCUCUGGGCUAUUAACCCGAGUAGCUUCUUCCCUCCUGAAAGAGGUUUACAACCCGAAGGCCUUCUUCCCCCACGCGGCGUCGCUGCGUCACGGUUUCCCGCAUUAGCGCAAUAUUCCCCACUGCUGCCUCCCGUAGGAGUCUGGGCCGUGUCUCAGUCCCAGUGUGGCUGUUCGUCCUCUCAGACCAGCUACGGAUCGUCGCCUUGGUGAGCCGUUACCUCACCAACUAGCUAAUCCGCCGCGGACCCAUCCUCGGCCAGAGGCCGAAGCUACCUUUUCCCACCGCCCCUAGAGGCUGUGGGGCUAUCCGGCAUUAAUCCGAGUUUCCCCGGGCUAUUCCGGUGCCGAGGGCAGGUUAUCCACGUGUUACUCACCCGUUCGCCGCUCGUCCCCAGGACCGAAGUCCUGGUUCUCGCUCGACUUGCAUGUGUUAGGCGCGCCGCCAGCGUUCGUCCGUGAGCCAGGAUCAAACUCU